AAGGGAGAGAGAUUCCCAAGGGGUGGUUUUUCCCCUCCCUGAAACCUGAUGCUGGUCCCGAGUCCAGACCCGGCUAAAUCAAGUCUGCAACAGGUGCCAAGACAACAAGGAAAAAUAGCAACAGUGGCCUGGGAGAUCCGAGGCCUGAUGCUCCACAGCUCCCACUGGUGGAGAUCAGCCUGCUGUUGAUCCUGGAAGAGGAGGGGAUGGACAAAACUGGUUCCCCCCUCGGUCACAACGCUCCCAAAACCGACUCAUGGCCUUGCUCUGCUUCGGGGUGAAGGGUCCCAAAUCCAUCAAACUGCUAAAAACUGGGAUUUGGGCUUUGGGUCCGUUAUUUCUGGAUUUGUAGGGCCCCUGAAUGAAAUUCUGCUGGAUUAACACCAGGAGAAAGACGGGAAGGAAAAAGGAACACGUGAGAAUCGAACCGAAAAACUGGGAUGUGCCUUGAGGAGAGGAGCUGGGAUCAGCUGGCACCACCCAUGCGAGAGCAGUGAGUGCAAACCGGGGGGUCACCUCUCCCCUUUCCCGUGGUCCAGGCCUCCAAUUCCUUUCAGCUGCGGAGAUCCCUGAUCCAAGGUGAGGCGUCUUUCCCGGUCGCAGCCACGGAUCCGGAGCCAGCCGCUCUCCCGGGUCCCACAGGGAGCGGGCAGGGGGUUAAAAGUGCAACAAAACCACCCAAAGAGCAGAGCUGAGGAGGAGGAGGAGGAGGAGGGGGGACGAGGACACGCGCGGGCAGCUCGCCCCGGCCUGGAAGAUGUGGAGCUUCUCGGCGUCGGGCAGGAAGAGCCGGGCGUCCUCCAGCGCGCCGCGGGCCGCCAUGGUGAAGUUGGCGUCGCCCGAGGUCACCACGUCGAAGACGCACGACUGGAAGUAGACGUCCUCCACCGGCAGCAUCUCCCGGCACAGCGCCCGCGCCGUGUCGGCCGGCACGCGCCCGCGCCCGCGGGGGCUGCGGGACAGGCGCUGGCUGCGGGGGCAGCCGCCCACGCACAGCUGCAGGUCCUGCUCCUCCGUGAAGGCCCGGGCCACCUCCUCGGCGGCGCGGAUGGAGAAGGAGAGCUGGCGGCCGGCCUGGCGCACGGCGAUGGUGGUGCCGAUGUAGGCGGCGCGGAUCUCCACGUGCCGCCCCGGCGCGCGCUCGCGGAUGGCCAGGCUGCUCCCGCCCGGCCGCGCGCCCCCGUUCACCGAGCCGUCCUGGAAGGCCGCCGGGACGUUGUCCAGCUCGGCCUGGUAGACCUUCUGGUCGAUGCAUUCCUUCAUGUUCUUGAAUAUGAUGCACCAUUUAAGCAACAGAAAAUGGAGACGGAGCCAAACCCGGCAAGAUCCUUCUGGGUACCCUACGGACUGUGUCGUCACCCCAUGACAAUGGGAGCAUUUGAGGGUCCCCUUGACAGCCUCCAUCCCUCUCCUUCCUCCUUCCUCGCUCUCCCUGGGUCUCGCCAAAGCAACUCCUGCCCUCCCCAGGUAUUUCAGGGAGCCCUGCCCCCAGAUUUGCC